AAGCAACACUCUAUGGCAGAUAAUCAAAACUAUCUGACACAAUUUGAGCUUGCUAUAGUGAGAAAGUCUAACCUAUUCCAGUGUUCUCUCCUCCAUGAGACAAGCCAUUAUAUAAACUUAAAACAAU